UACGUAGGGUGCGAGCGUUGUCCGGAAUUAUUGGGCGUAAAGAGCUUGUAGGCGGUUUGUCGCGUCUGCUGUGAAAAUCCGGGGCUCAACCCCGGACUUGACAGUGGGUACGGGCAGACUGGAGUGUGGUAGGGGAGACGUGGAAAUUCCUGGUGUAGCGGUGGGAAAUGCGCAGAUAUCAGGAAGAACACCCGUGGCGAAGGCGGCUCUCUGGGACGGUACUGACGCUGAGACGCGAAAGCUAGGGGAGCGAACAGG
rnacentral:rRNA from 1 species